rnacentral:rRNA from 2 species
UGCAAGUCGAGCGCAGGAAGCCGUCUUCCCAUGCCGAACACGGAAGUUAAGCGUCUCAGCGCCGAAAGUAGUUGGGGGAUCUCCCCCUGUGAGGAUAGGACGUUGCCAGGCA